rnacentral:lncRNA from 1 species
AUUUUGCAUUGCUGGAUGCUCUUAAUCUUUUCAAAAGAAACAUCACUCCAUCAGGGCCCCGCGACCAGGCACCGAGGGGAAAGCAGUGGACUGUACUUGAUGCGUGGUUAUGAGAUGCAGCUUAAUAAUAUAAUUUCUCAGUUCAGAUAUCGAUCCUUGGGAGCAGUGCAGUGCUGGGAAUAGAGCGAAGCAGGGGGUGGAGAAAUCUCUGCUGCCUGUUUUCUCAUCUCACAACUCCCCGAAGAGACAGAGCCUUCCCCGUCCCGCGUAGCCAGGCAUGACAGAUCAAAACCACUGGAGACAUGCACCGUGCCUUUCAGGGAGUUAGAGCAAAACAUGGCAGAAGGAAUGGAAAGCAGCAAUUAAUCCGCAUGAAGCUGAACGGGAGGGUAGGUUCACCCUUACAGCACAGAAGAGCAUGUGUGAGGCAAGGAGCUGGAUGUGGGAGACAUCUUCCAGCUGCCUGGGACCCUUCACAUGUGGCACCAGGUGACAUUGGUCUGGUACUAGACCCAAGUGUGGUCAGUAUGGCUAACGAGUGCCUCUACAGCUCUAGGAGCAAAACUGGGAACUGAAGGAUGAGGGCUGAAGCAUGAAGUUAUCAUACA